GUGUGGGCGAUGGAUUGAGCAGGGGAGAAGACAAACCCUAAAAACCACAAAAUUCCCCAAAUUGGAAGAGAAAAAUGAAGGUUUGAUGGAUGCAUGAGCUAUAUUCCCAACCAUCUACACAAGAUAAACACAUGCAUUAGGGAUCAUGUGGAAGUGGACUCAAGCACGAAAGACUAACGGGUCAAGAGGGGACAAGGAAGCCAAUGCGAAAAUGGACGCUCAAGUGUAACGCAGGAAUAGCAGAGAAGUCUCACCGCGGGUCGUAUGAUCAGAUGGAAAGCCGGAAUGUAAAGAGUUAACGGAACGAAAAAUAAACGUGAAUGAAUUUUACAUGUUUACGAUGCGUACUGAUGUUUAUGAAUUUUAUGUGGUGAGCGCAGGUAGUACGAGAUACGAAGGAUCUUCAAGGGAUAGAGAUCAAGGACCGAGU